UUUGUUAUGGUGCUUUUUUUCUGUGUUUGCUUGUUCUUUCAUUGGUUAUGUUAUCAGCUUUGAAACUAAUUUUAUUGAUAUUGACUGAGAAAAAACAAAUAAACAAAAAAGUAUGAAGGAGGUAUUAGUUAUUACAAAAAUCAGCUACGUAUUGCCUGCUUUAUUUUUCCAUAUCAUGCUUCACAAAACUGCAAAAACAAAAGAAAAAAUCACUCUGAAAGAAUCAAUGGCCACCAAGAGAAAAAUUGAUGCUUUUAAUCUUCAGUAACUGCCUGCCACACUUGACCAAAGAUAGGUUUUGGCUCUGCUGCGUUUUUCUUUCGUACCUGCAUCAUCGUUGUUUAUGUCUGGAAGGUUCAAGGUCCACCAUAAAUACAUACAUCUUACACCUAUGAAUGCAAUUAUAUAUGUUUGUAUUAAAAUAUAAGAUAAACUCGAUUUAUAUUUUUGUGGUUUUAAUUUUUUUUUUUUCAAAUGACAUUCUCUGUUUUUUUUUAAUUAGCAUUUUGUGAAUAACUUAUAUUCUUACAAAAAAAUUAGACUAUUAAUUAUUUUAAUAAAAUUAUUAAAACAAUUUUUUAAAAAAAUACAAGAAAUAAAAGAUAAUGAAAAAAAUCUCACCUCACAAGGCAUAUGCCACACCCAAAUCUUUGUUUUCACUCCUGACACCUGGGACCGGAGCCCAA
rnacentral:lncRNA from 1 species